rnacentral:rRNA from 1 species
ACCCUAAAACCUAAAAAAUUUGGCGGCCCUUAAAGUAAUAAGAGGGGCUUGCUGUUAAAACGACGACCCCCGACUAUCUCUCCUAAAAUAAAUAGUUUGUAUACCGCCACCCAGGAAAUCUUUUCAAAGUAUCUCGACAAUAAUAGAUCCUUAAGGUUAGGUCAAGGUGCAGCUUAUAUUUAGGUUCUAGUUAGCUACAAUAUCCUAUAGAAUUGGAAUAGUAUUUGAAACCUGCUGUAAAAGAGGAUUUUAGGUUAAUUUCCAUAAAAAACAGGGAAAUGACUUCUAAAUUAAAGGUGCACAUAUCGCCCGUCGCUCGCGGGA